GUGCUCACUUCGGAAGCACAUAUACUAAAAUUGGAACGAUACAGAGAAGAUUAGCAUGGCCCCUGCAUAAGGAUGCCACGCAAAUUUGUGAAGCAUUCCAUAUUUUU
rnacentral:snRNA from 1 species